rnacentral:rRNA from 1 species
UACGUAGGGGGCAAGCGUUGUCCGGAAUCAUUGGGCGUAAAGAGCGUGUAGGCGGCUUGGUAAGUCCGUUCUGAAAGCCCGGGGCUCAACCCCGGGAGGCGGAUGGAUACUGUCAAGCUCGAGUCCGGAAGAGGCGAGUGGAAUUCCAGGUGUAGCGGUGAAAUGCGCAGAUAUCUGGAGGAACACCAAUGGCGAAGGCAGCUCGCUGGGACGGUACUGACGCUGAGACGCGAAAGCGUGGGGAGCAAACAGG